GGCCGCGCUGCUCCCUGGCCUCAGAGAGGCGGCGCCUGCGCACCGCUGCCUUUUAAGCGCAUUCGGCCCGACGGGGGGGGGGGAAGCGCAUGCGCCUUGCUGGCCGUGGCGGGGGCGGGGCCAACCGGUAGGAGCGAUAGCCCCGCCCCGCUCCUCACGCGCCCCCGCGGCCGUUGCAGCACGUGGCCCCUCAGCGCCCCCUCCUCCCAGCCCCGGCCCAACGGCCGCCGCGGCGUGAGGGCGCGAGGCCUCGUGCGGACAGGACCCGAAAAUUAACGGAAAAACCCUUCUCUGCUAGCGCAGGGAAGCCCCCGGAGGGCUGUAGACGGCCCAGCUGCUUCAGCUGCCAGCGCCAGGCCAGAAAGGCUCCACAGUUGCCCCCAUUUUGCCUGGAUGAGCAGCAUUGUGGAUGGCUUGUCACAGCUGAGCAGGGUCAGCCAGCCUGUAGGGGAUAUGGCUGGGCAAGGCUGCCGGGGCAGCAGCUCCGGGCAUGCAGGGAGGCAAGGAAAUAGUUCAGAAGACUCCUAGACCAAGUUCUUGGAUGUAACCAGGGAUACUGUCUUGCAGUUCUGGGGGAAGAAAACAGCGAUGUUCAAGUUCUCUGUGAAAAUACAUCACCUGAAGAUUACAGCGUCAAUUCUGCUUUGGCUUGGCAACACCAAAAAAAUUUUCUUCUUGGAACGGAGGCGACUAACACACAAACCAGCUUGACCCCUUCUUCUCCCUGAGCACUGGAGGAGGUGUUUCUGCCAUCCAGCUUCAAGUGCAUCUUCAUAUUGCAGCAUGGCCCUCACUGCAGCUCCACUCUGAGGGCCUGGUGCUGCCAACAGCUGUGRGUUUAAAACUAGCUGAGCAUCCCACAUGCCAACAUGAUUUACUAAACCACUAAGAUAUUGAGUCAGCCUUGUAAAUCAUUUUAAUUAUUUCACUAAACAGGUUGUGGAAAUAGAUCAAUAGAAAAUAUGGCAUUUAGGCUUACAGUACUGUGCAUUCAUUGUGGGAAAGAAAUUGUAUUAACUGAUUUAGUAGAUAAUAA
rnacentral:lncRNA from 1 species